rnacentral:rRNA from 1 species
AGAGUUUGAUCCUGGCUCAGAUUGAACGCUGGCGGCAUGCCUAACACAUGCAAGUCGAACGGUAACGACGGGAGCUUGCUCCCGGGCGACGAGUGGCGGACGGGUGAGUAAUACUUAGGAAUCUGCCCAGUAGUGGGGGACAACUCGAGGAAACUCGAGCUAAUACCGCAUACGCCCUACGGGGGAAAGCGGAGGAUCUUUCGGGACUUCGCGCUAUUGGAUGAGCCUAAGUCGGAUUAGCUUGUUGGUGGGGUAAAGGCCUACCAAGGCGACGAUCUGUAGCUGGUCUGAGAGGACGAUCAGCCACACUGGGACUGAGACACGGCCCAGACUCAUACGGGAGGCAGCAGUGGGGAAUAUUGGACAAUGGGGGCAACCCUGAUCCAGCAAUGCCGCGUGUGUGAAGAAGGCCUGCGGGUUGUAAAGCACUUUCAGUAGAGAAGAAAAGCUCAUGGUUAAUACCUGUGAGUCUUGACGUAACCUACAGAAGAAGCACCGCUAACU